rnacentral:rRNA from 1 species
UACGAAGGGGGCUAGCGUUGUUCGGAAUUACUGGGCGUAAAGCGCACGUAGGCGGAUCGAUCAGUCAGGGGUGAAAUCCCAGAGCUCAACUCUGGAACUGCCUUUGAUACUGUCGAUCUGGAGUAUGGAAGAGGUGAGUGGAAUUCCGAGUGUAGAGGUGAAAUUCGUAGAUAUUCGGAGGAACACCAGUGGCGAAGGCGGCUCACUGGUCCGGUACUGACGCUGAGGUGCGAAAGCGUGGGGAGCAAACAGG